AAUAAAAUAAAUCCUUUAUUGCACAUUUCUCUGCUGUUUACAACUUACUCGACUCACAGCAUUCAGUCUAGUAUCCCUGUAAAUUAGUUACUGUUUAACCAGGGAGAUUAUACAGUAAAAAUAUUAGCUAUUAAUUAUGAUUAGUUAUACAAUAAUAAUAUAUAAAUACAUUGAUUUUGACAAUUUGUCUUUUGCAGUUUCCUCAUAUUACGUGAUUACGGAAUUUGUACUAUCUAUUGUCCGCUAUUGAUUUUAGGUUUAUCGUUAACCUUACCUUUUGAUCAAAACAAGAUCACGUGAAAGUUGAGAUGAUCGGAUAAUUAAAGAAUGCCACGUGUAUUGAUGAUGAGCAGAAGGCUCUCAUCUAAUUUAAGUGUCUAUAAUGGUGAGUUUUGGAAAUAUUUCAAUUGUUUUAUGAUAAUUUAUUGAAAGCAUCAUGAUUUAUUUUAAAAUAUCAAAGAAUUUCUAUUCUGACAUUAGAUAGUACAAGGUCAAUGUUCAGUAAGCAUGCUGAUUUGUGUACAGGUAAACCUUGAUCAUUUGUCACAUUUAAACACACACAUGAAAUUUGUUUACAUUGCCUAAGAGUCAUUCUACAUGAUAUAUAUGUGUAAUGAUAUUAAAUAAAAAUACAUUUUAUGAUUUAUAAUAUAAACAUAGUUAUAUAUUUUUAUAAACAUCACACAAAAACCUACUUGUUUUUUAUCAAGUGUUUUCAUACUAUCAAAGUAUUGUUGAAAUUCUAACUUAAAAAUUCUGUAAACAUCAACAUUUUUUUGUUUAUACUCUGAUGCAUAUGUAGAUUUAUGAAUAGAGAACAUUAAUACAGUCAGAAACAGAUUGAUGUCAUAGUAGUUUAUAUCAUAUAUUUUAUACCCAAGUAUUAGAUUUUUGAAAGAGAUUAUAUGUGUCCCCAUUUUUAUUUUGUCAAGCAGUAAUUUGACUUUUUUCCAAAAAGUUUGAAAGUAUUGGCAUGUGAUGAAAAAGUGUUCAUAGUUUUCUAAUUGGUUGCAAAUAUGGCAUUGGUCAUCACUUUUCAGUUGCCAGAUGUGCAAUAGCUGUUUACAAGGAAGGAUAUAGUGAAGUAGUUUCCACCUGAAUAUUUUUAACUUGUUAACUUGUAAGCUGUAAAAUAUAAAGUUAAGCAUUUUGUACAAGUAGCUUGACGAUUCUAAUUUAAAUUGUGUUUUCCAUUUUAGAAAUCCAAUUGGUGUUUUUUCCUCUAUAUUACAUGAAUUAAUGCUUUUAUAUAUUUCUUUUGAUGGAAGGUUUUCAAUGCAGAUCAAUUUUGUGUUGUUUUGUGUUUUUAAAGUAUAGUUUUUUAUUUGUUUUAACUUGAGUACAGCAUGAUUUAUCUGAUUUCAUUUCCAUUUGCCACUUUUUUGGUAUUGCGUUUUUUAUUCUUGAUAGUUCUGAUAUCCAAUUUGAUUUAAUUGUUAGUUUAUCUAAUACAAUCUUUUGUGAAAUGUUUCCUUCUUUGUCGAUUAUAUCAUUAAUAAAUAGUAUUCCAUUUGUUAUCCAAUUUGAAAAUAUUAAGCAUUUGUUUUGAAAUUUUAUAUGCUUAUUGCCCCAAAUAUAUUGUUGUCUUAUGUUAAUAAAAGUUGUAUUGUUUUUGUUUGAGAUAUUUUUUAUUUUAAACCAACUUUUAAUUAUUUCUAAAUAAAAAAGAGGGAGUGUUUUACUAAGGUUUGGGAUUGCUUUUAUGCUACCUGGAUUCAUGUUGAAUAAAGAGAAGUUUUCUCCAAAUAUAUUAAAAAAGAAAAGGGGAAUAACUUUCCAGUUCGCAAAGUGUGUUGAUGUUAAACGUUUGACCCAGGAUAAUUGUAUAGCUGAUAGAAAAUUGUCAAUAUUAAUCAUUUUUAGGCCUCCUUCCAAAUAAUCUUUACAUAAAGUUAUCCGUUUAACUUUUUCUUUUUUAUUUCCCCAAAUGAAGUUGUAAAUUAGUGUUUUGAAUUCAUUCAGAAAGUUUUUGGAUAUAGUUGUCACUGAUGCCAAGAAAGUUAAAUUUGGUAGGAUAAGAGAUUUAAUUACUGUUAUUUUACCUAUCAUUGUAAGAUUUCUUCUGUUCCAGCUAUUGAUUGCAUCUUGAGACUUUCUUAAAAUCUUUUCUGUAUUUAAUCUGUCGCAUUCAUCUUUGUUAAGUCCAAAAUAUACCCCUAGACUUUUAAUAGGUUCUUUAUUCCAGUUUAUAUUUUCAUAUUUAUCUUUGCAGCUUUUCAAUUGGCCUAACCAUAUGCCCUCUGUUUUAGAUCGGUUAAGUUUAAGACCUGAGAGUGUUCCAAAUAUUUCAAUCAAGUUUAAAGCAUAGCUUAUUUCCUGCUUACAUUUUAAAAAGAGAGUAGUAUCAUCUGCUAGUUGUGAAAUUUUCAGACUAUGUGUUUUGGAGUCUAAUUUAAUUUGAAAUCCCUUAAUACCAGUAUCUUGUCUUAUUCUACAUGCGAGAAUUUCUACUGCUAUUGUGAAAAUUAGAGAACUGCAUGGACACCCUUGUCGUAUCCCACGAUAUACAUUGUAGGUUUCUGAAAUCCAACCAUUAUUUAGCAUACAGCCUUUAAUAUUUUUAUAUAAUGUUUUAACCCAUUUAAUGAAUGAGUUUGGGAGACCAAAUUUUGUUAGGGCUUCAUACAUAAAGUCCCAUUCUAAUGAAUCAAAAGCUUUUGAAAAAUCAAUAAAAAGUAAUGCACCAUCAAUUUGAAAGGUUUCAGCAUAAUCAAUAAUGUCUUGGAUUUGGCGUAUAUUAAAACCAAUAUAUCUAUUUUUGAUAUAACCAUUUUGAUCCCCAUGAAUUAUUUUUAACAGUAUUGGUUUUAAACGUUGAGCUAUUGCAUAUGCAAUGAGUUUAGUAUCUACAUUUAAUAGUGUAAUUGGUCUAUAGUUAUCCAGUGACAAAGGGUCUUUUUUUUUGUAAAUUAAGGAUAUUAUACCUAUUUUUUGUAUGGUUGUUAGUUCUCCUUCUUCAUAGCAUUUGUUAAAAACUUCAACAGUAAAUUCUUUUAGAUUAUUCCAAAAAGUGCGAUAAAAUUCUACACUUAGCCCAUCUAUUCCUGGAGAUUUAUUUAAUUUCAUUUGAAAUAUUGCCUUAGUGCAUUCUUCUACUGUUAAAGGGCCCCCCAAGGAUUCACUUUCUAUUUCUGAUAGUUUGUGAUCAAUGUUGGUUUCAUUUAUGUAAUUUUUUAUAUCUUUUAAAUUUGGAGAAGUGCUUUUAUAUAGAUUUUCAUAGUAUGAUCUUUCUAUGUUUAGAAUUUCUGAGUGUUCUGUAACUAUUUUCCCAUCUUUAUUUUUAAGCGCUGUGAUACUUUUUUGGUUUGUCUUGAUUUUUCAAGGCCCAGGAAGAAUUUAGUGUUUUUCUCUCCUUCUUCUAACCAUUGUACUCGGGAUCUUAUUUGUGCACCUUUAACUUUAUUUAAGUAGAGGUUUUCAAGUUUUUCUUCCAUGGUUUUAAUUUCUUUUUCCAUAGUUGGGCUUACAUUUGUUUUUUCAUUUAAUUUUCUUAAUUUUGUUUCUAAAUUUUUUAUAUCAUUUUUAUUUUCAGAUGAUCUUUGUUUGCAGUAAGUAAGAGUUGCGGUUCUUACCUCUGAUUUAAACAUAUCCCAAAGUGUUUUCAAAUUUUUGGUGAGUAUUUGUUUUUUUAUAGUUUUCGAUUAAUUUAUUUAUGAGAUCAAUAUAUUUUUGCUCUUUAAGUAUACUAUUAUUUAUUUUAAAGAAUCCCCUGCCUCUUUCUUCCGAAUUUUGUCUUACUUGUAAAGAAAUGGCUUGGUGAUCAGUAUAUGAUAUCAUUGCAGGUCGAAUAUCUGCUUUCAUAACAUGCGGUCUUAUAUCAGGACUUAUUAGAAAGAAGUCAAUUCUACUGGCUAUUUUUGUAUCAUUUUUCCUUCUCCAUGUGAAUUGACUUGUAUUUGGAUGAAGUUCUCUCCAUAUAUCUGUUAAAAUUAUUUUUCUUUAUUAAUUUUUUAAAACUAUUCACUGGUUUGUAGUUUCGAGAGAUAUUAUUAGUUUUUUUUAUCAUUAAUUGAUAGGGUUUCGUUCAUGUCACCUCCAAGUAUAAGAAUACCCAAGCGAUUGUUUUCAAUUAUAUUUUGGACCUUUUUGAAAAAUUUGUUUCUGUUUUUGUGUUGAUUUGGAGCAUAUACAUUUAUUAAAGUAAAAAUGUUUUCAUUUAUUUCUAUGUUAAUCAAAAUUAUUCUGCCUUCUGUAUCUUUUAUCUCAUUUAUUGUCUUACAUUUUAAAUUAUUUUUCACAUAGAUUGAUACCCCCUUUGAUUGUGUGUUACCAUAACUAUGGAACAUUUUGCCAUCAAACUCAUAAUUUAUAGUUUUUUCAUUUUUUUCUAUAAAAUGUGACUCUUGCAUGAAAAGAAUAUUACAUUUUUGAUUUUUUGUCCAUAAUUGUAAUCUUUCUCUUUUCUGUUUUUGGCCUAAACCUUGACAGUUUAGUGAUAUUAUGUGUAGAUUUUCACCCAUUGUUAAAUUUUGAGUUUAGAUGUUUUGUUAGCAUAAAUGCUGAAAAAAGAUAUAUUUGUUUCAUCUGAUAUUUACAACAUAUUUUCAUUAGUUUGAUUUUAUGAUUACUAUAAAAACAAUGGUACACAAUUAUGUGUGAGAUAAGUGCAUAUAAUAAAUAGAAUAUAAACACAAACUUGACAGUGUACAUGAAUGUAAAUAAAACAUAACACAAACAAAUAUAAGCAUGCAUGCAUGUAGUUGAACAUAUAUUUUUAUUUACUUGUUCAAUAUAUACAUUAGAUUUUUCUUUUGCUACUUCAACAUAUUUUGAGACUAUAUACAUGAUAUAUCUACACUGAAAAAACAGAUAUAUUUUAUUCAUAACAUGUGUUUUAAUUUUAUGGUUAUUUAUUUUUAGAUCUGAUGUUUUGGCAGAAGUAAAUGUAUGAAAUUGUUUGGACCAUGUACAUAGUGUGGAAAUUUACAAUCAAUUUAGAAGCAAUCGGAAUGUUUAUAUUUAGCAAAAUCGGUAUUUGUGUAUAUCUACAUAAUCUAUGAAGGAACAUAUUUGCUGAUAAUCUGGGACUUGCAAAGGAUGGAUGGAUGGAUUUUUUCAUGUGGAUUAAAAUUGACUUUUGAAGUAUUCCUAAUAUGUGGAUUAAAUAAGAUAUCCAAAUCUUUUUAAUGUGAAAUGGAAAAGGACAAAGUAUGAAUUCUAAUAUGUGAAUUAAAACUGAUGGAUAAUUUGUUAUAGAGCAAGCAUAUAUCAUGGAGAGUUUAUAGCUGUUAACUAUAAAAAUCAACAGAAAAAGUGAUUUUAGACUGAUGUGAUUUAAUGAAUUGGUAUUUAUCAAAGAUAUUUUCUUU
rnacentral:lncRNA from 1 species